rnacentral:rRNA from 1 species
AGCAGCCGCGGUAAUUCCAGCUCCAAUAGCGUAUAUUAAAGUUGUUGCAGUUAAAAAGCUCGUAGUUGAAUUUCGGGAUUAGUACGUCGGUCGUGCCUUGGUACGUACUGGUGUAACUGAUUCCUCCCUUCUGACGAACCGUUAUGCCAUUAAUUUGGUGUGGCGGGAAAUCAGGACUGUUACUUUGAAAAAAUUAGAGUGUUUAAAGCAGGCUCGCGCUUGAAUACAUUAGCAUGGAAUAAUGAAAUAGGACGUUAAUCCUAUUUUGUUGGUUUCUAGGAUCGACGUAAUGAUUAAUAGGGAUAGUUGGGGGCAUUAGUAUUCAAUUGUCAGAGGUGAAAUUCUUGGAUUUAUUGAAGACUAACUACUGCGAAAGCAUUUGCCAAGGAUGUUUUCAUUAAUCAAGAACGAAAGUUAGGGGAUCGAAGACGAGUCAGAUACCGUCGUAGUCUUAACCAUAAACUAUGCCGACUAGGGAUCGGAUGAUGUUAAUUUUUAAUGACUCAUUUCGGCGCCUUAC